CUAAGAAUAUUCCGCAAUGGACGAAAGUCUGACGGAGCGACGCCGCGUGGAUGAAGAAGGCCGAAAGGUUGUAAAGUUCUUUUGUUGGGGAAGAAUAACCAUGGGAGGGAAUGCCCGUGGGAUGACAUGAACCGACGAAUAAGCCCCGGCUAACUACGUGCCAGCAGCCGCGGUAACACGUAGGGGGCGAGCGUUGUUCGGAAUUACUGGGCGUAAAGGGCAUGUAGGCGGUCUUGUAAGCUUGGCGUGAAAGACCACGGCUCAACCGUGGGAUUGCGUUGAGAACUGCGAGGCUUGAGUGACGGAGAGGGAGCUAGAAUUCCUGGUGUAGGGGUGGAAUCUGUAGAGAUCAGGAAGAAUACCAAUGGCGAAGGCAAGCUCCUGGCCGAUGACUGACGCUGAGGUGCGAAAGUGUGGGG
rnacentral:rRNA from 1 species